rnacentral:rRNA from 1 species
GGCAGCAUGGUCUUAGCUUGCUAAGGCUGAUGGCGACCGGCGCACGGGUGAGUAACACGUAUCCAACCUGCCGUCUACUCUUGGCCAGCCUUCUGAAAGGAAGAUUAAUCCAGGAUGGGAUCAUGAGUUCACAUGUCCGCAUGAUUAAAGGUAUUUUCCGGUAGACGAUGGGGAUGCGUUCCAUUAGAUAGUAGGCGGGGUAACGGCCCACCUAGUCAACGAUGGAUAGGGGUUCUGAGAGGAAGGUCCCCCACAUUGGAACUGAGACACGGUCCAAACUCCUACGGGAGGCAGCAGUGAGGAAUAUUGGUCAAUGGGCGAUGGCCUGAACCAGCCAAGUAGCGUGAAGGAUGACUGCCCUAUGGGUUGUAAACUUCUUUUAUAAAGGAAUAAAGUCGGGUAUGCAUACCCGUUUGCAUGUACUUUAUGAAUAAGGAUCGGCUAACUCCGUGCCAGCAGCCGCGGUAAUACGGAGGAUCCGAGCGUUAUCCGGAUUUAUUGGGUUUAAAGGGAGCGUAGAUGGAUGUUUAAGUCAGUUGUGAAAGUUUGCGGCUCAACCGUAAAAUUGCAGUUGAUACUGGAUGUCUUGAGUGCAGUUGAGGCAGGCGGAAUUCGUGGUGUAGCGGUGAAAUGCUUAGAUAUCACGAAGAACUCCGAUUGCGAAGGCA